rnacentral:rRNA from 1 species
UACAGAGGAUGCAAGCGUUAUCCGGAAUGAUUGGGCGUAAAGCGUCUGUAGGUGGCUUUUUAAGUCCGCCGUCAAAUCCCAGGGCUCAACUCUGGACAGGCGGUGGAAACUACCAAGCUUGAGUACGGUAGGGGCAGAGGGAAUUUCCGGUGGAGUGGUGAAAUGCGUAGAGAUCUGGAAGAACACCAAAGGCGAAGGCAGCAUCCUGGGAAGUUCCUGACGCUCGGGUGCGAAAGCCAGGGGAGCGAACGGG